rnacentral:rRNA from 1 species
AUUGAACGCUGGCGGCAGGCUUAACACAUGCAAGUCGAACGAGUGGCGGACGGGUGAGUAAUGUAUGGGAAUCUGGCUUAUGGAGGGGGAUAACUACGGGAAACUGUGGCUAAUACCGCAUACUAUCGGAUGAGCCCAUGUGGGAUUAGGUAGUUGGUGGGGUAAUGGCUCACCAAGGCGACGAUCUCUAGCUGGUCUGAGAGGAUGACCAGCCACACCGGGACUGAGACACGGCCCGGACUCCUACGGGAGGCAGCAGUGGGGAAUAUUGCGCAAUGGGGGCAAGCCUGACGCAGCCAUGCCGCGUGAAUGAAGAAGGCCUUCGGGUUGUAAAGUUCUUUCGGUGACGAGGCGUUAACCACAGAAGAAGCACCGGCUAACUCCGUGCCAGCAGCCGCGGUAAUUC